UACGGAGGGUGCAAGCGUUAUCCGGAUUCACUGGGUUUAAAGGGUCCGUAGGCGGUCUUGUAAGUCAGUGGUGAAAGCCCAUCGCUCAACGGUGGAACGGCCAUUGAUACUGCAAGACUUGAAUUAUUGGGAAGCAACUAGAAUAUGUAGUGUAGCGGUGAAAUGCUUAGAUAUUACAUGGAAUACCAAUUGCGAAGGCAGGUUGCUACCAAUACAUUGACGCUGAUGGACGAAAGCGUGGGGAGCGAACAGG
rnacentral:rRNA from 1 species